UAAAAUGCAGGCAGCCUAACUGCAAAGCAUGGCUUAACUGCUAAGUUAACUUUAGCAGUAUCUUACUUAAAUAUAGAAGUGCAGCUACUGCUAGGGUUCUAAAAAAAGCCCAGGGGAUUCAUUUACAUACAGUUAGGGCUCAUGGCUGACGGGCGGAGGAGCUGGACUCUUUCUCCACGUUUCUCAUAAGCUGGCUAGUGCCAGUUGGUAUAGAUUCAGUCCAGAUUUCCUCCUCAAGGCUAUUCUUGAUGUUCAUUUAAAACGGAUUUCGCCAACCUAGGAAACCCUCUCAAAGGUAGAACUUUCCGGCAGCAGCACUUUCUGCGUUUUAGGGGACAUUAUCUGUCACGGGAAGGGAUCCUAGCAGUUGGUACGUGAAUGGAGCCGUCUCCGAGAAGUCUUUCAUUGAGCACACAGUCCUCCAAAGGGAAAGAGAAACAUGCUGUACAUGAACAUUAGUGGCAGCAGAAAUUUGUCACACCGAAGAUCAAAAAGCACAGCCAGCUUCUGAGAGUUUAUCUACUGCAAGAUGAAUCGCCCAGAGACCUCUGGUGCAUCUUUCUUACACUUCAACCUCCCCCACUACGGAUGAGAAAUAGACUUUUCCCUCAUCCAUCAUAAGUCAGCAUGACAGGGCUGUCGUUCCCCAGGCCCGGCUCACUGUGUCAUCCUUCCCUCUGUCCUGCUUCAGUGCGUGGCUGGCUUGCUUGGGAACAGCGGAGACCUUUACAAAAGACUUUGAAUGGUCUGCGCCCGACAUUGUUCUGACCAAUGGGAUGAGAGCAGAAGCGAUGUAUUCCACUUUAUGGUCCUGUGUUUAGAAGGAAUACACGAGUGUUUUCCUUGUUCCCUUACUCCUUCUGGCUCUUUGGAUUACAGAUGUGAUGGUGUCAGGGCCUGUUCUGAGCAGGAAAAUCAUCUCCCAAUUUUGACUCAGUCCUCAACAAUUGUAUUUAAUUGCUGUAACUCCUGGAACUUGAAAAAGAAGACAUUCUUUUUCCUAUUCACCCGGAACAGAAGAGAAUAAAAUUGAGGCAAGAACUUGUAAGGAAGAAGAGACGGGAGAACUCCAGAAAAGCGGACAUGCCAGCCAGUGCCGCCGGAGUAGGACUAAGGGAGGCUCUCCCUUUCUUCUUCGCAUUCUUCUGUAGCACUGUAAUUUUUCAAAGCCAACUGCAUUACUCUGGAAAUUGGGGAAAAUAUUUUCAAAAUAAGGGAAACAUAAAGAAAAGCUUGCUUCAUCCUGAAUGCUGGGGAAAGCUGUCUCAGAGCCCCACAGCACCCAAGGGCCUGCUCCUGAGACCUGUGUUCUAGACAACAGAGCCUCUCCGUGUGACUGGGCUGUGUAGAUCCUAUUCUUCUCCGCCAGGACUUGGGAGAGAAGUCACCCGAGAUACAGUAAGUUGGGGUAGGGGCUUUGAGGAGGGACGGCAUCUCUGCAAGAAACAGACCCAGCCUCUUUCCUAGGAAGGGAGGAGAGGCCACCUGCCUGGCGUGUUUGCUAACACGCAGGAGCUGUGGCCUGUAAUCAUCAUUAGCUCUCUUUGGUGUUUACUGACUGUUAUUAAUUAGAAUGAGCAAACUUGGCAUUAAUGUGCCUGCCAUAAGGAUGAAGGCUCUUACUGCACAACUAUCCUGCAUAAGCAGCUAGACUGGGACUCAUUUACCAACUGUUACAGGGAUGAUGUUGGAGUACAGACACUAGCUGCCGGAGGUCCAGGCAGGACCAAGGGCACGGAUGCUCCGGCCUGGAUCUCUCUAGAAGCGGAGAGUUAGGGGAGCUCUGCCAGGGGGAGCGGAGCCUCUCCUUAGCUCAUGUGGUCACUGCUAGCAGGCUCGAGGUAGCUUCCCAAAGCAGCCCCGGCAAGCUCACAUGAUUCUGUCACCAGACAAGCUUCCCUCUUGUCCUGGACACUGCAGCUUUCUCCACAAUCGGAAAAUCACGGAACAUAACUUCCUGCACGAGUCAGUGGACUGGUGUUCUGUUGCCCUUUGAGAGAGACUGUACCCUCCAGUGAAUUUUGGGAAAGAGGUUGGGCAGGGGGCUUGCGAGGCUCUGCUCUAUCAUACAGUACUAGUAUUCUCCGGCUUCUCUGGAAGAGACAUUAUGGCCCUGUAUUCCCUCCCCUGAAAGGAUCAGCUUUCAAAGAGGAGACUGCCACCCUCUGGGGGAAUAUAGAAGACGGGAGGCAGAGGCCAUGUCAGCUGGAGAGGAGGGCUAAUUUGCUCCCCAAUAGACAGGCAGCCUGGGAUGGAGAGGGGGCUCUCAGAGACACAAUGGUGGUUUCAACUGGCUCAGAAGAAAGGCGCUUGCGAGAGAUGGAAGGUGGGAGAGCAGUUCGUUCUGCUCAGAGAAGUCACGCGCUCUCCCUCGGCUUCUCCGAAGGACACAGAAUGAUCUGCAAGCAGAGGGUAAGGCCUUCCAGAGAAAAGGCACCGGGACCGUGUUCUCUAGGCUCUUGGCCCUGUAUUUUGCAUUGUUUGGCACAUUGCUCUUUAUUCUCCCAGAGGACCUGGGAACUGGCAACAGGCCCGACCUAUUGCGGGCUCACGUCUGAGCAGCUCCAGAAACGAGCAGCAGCUCCCACGUGGGGAAGGACCUGAGCAGACAGGGCCUGCGUCAUUAUGGCCUCCUUCCUUCUCUGGCAUGUACUGAGAUUUCUGUGACUGACUAGGCCAUGGCAUGUCUGAAUGUCUUUGGUCCUGGGCACACUUAUGCUCUUUCCUCUGAAUCAUGAGUGGGACUGUGGGGAUUGUGAAAAGUAGGAGAGCUGAUGAAUGAGGACACUGAAUAGGAUCUGGGUAACCUGGAUAUUUGGGGGAAAGGAUGGCUUAAGAUUUUGUGCCAUCAGAGGCACUUAUGGUCUCAGAGAAGUCCACAGGAAAAAAACCCUCAGGCAAAUCCACACUUCUGAGAUCUCAGCUGCUAAGGAAGGAAAGACCCCUUUUUCAUGGAGGUUUAGACCCAGGAGAGUAUCUGGCGAGCAGCACUUAUCAUUGCCAUGGUGAUCAAGUAUCAAACACCUAAAAGUGCACAGUGCCGCUCUGAGAAGGGCUUCUUUCACCUCCCUGUCUUUUCAGGUGCUACUUGUUCCAUUGGAAAUCUAGUCACUCCAUUAGGCAUUUGAAGAAAUUCAUGCAGUUGCGAGGCUCCUCUCAAAUGUCACCUCUAUGAGGCCCUCUUGACCCUCCAAGCUGAGCUAGGUUUCUCCAUUCUCUGUGGGCUUAUUAGACCUUGUAACUUUCCUUGAAUGCAAACAAAGCAUCGAAACGGAAUGAACAGUCUUUCCCAUUGGGUUGUGCACUGUCCAAGGUCAAUACCUAUGUUUUAUUUAUCCCUCUACUCAUCUAGAUCCAGGGCCUGGCAUGCUGUAGGUACUAAUGAAUGAGCUAAAGAACAAAAUCCACCAUGCAAAGGUCUUCUGGAAACUGUUCCUCUAUUAAAAAUACACUGGUGUUCACAGACAAGAAAACACAUAGUUGAUAAAUUUACAGUUAAUAUUGAGCCAAGGCAUAAAGAGAGGAAGAAUAAAACUUUUGAGGAUAAAUGUUAAAGUAGAGUCCUUUUGAGGAUAAAGGACGUAGAGUUGACGUAGGGAUUUCUUGAGCAGCUACUCUUCACCUGGUGCAUGCAAGACGGGGUCUGUAAAUAUGUCAUCAAUUUCGACCUUCACCACAGUUUAGCACAGUUCUAGGUGACUGAGUCUAACGGUGAACAACAGAGACUGGAUCUCAUUGUUUGCUUACACAUAAUCUACAGUUGAUUCUACAACUCAGAGAGGGUUGGUAUCUUGCCUGGCUUUGAGUAUCUCAAAAGAGUUCAGCAUGAAUUUAAAGUCCGGUCUGUAUGGUUUUAAGGUCUAUUCUCUCUCCCCAAUCUAGGUUGUAUAUAUUCCAGAAGACUUGGGCCAGGAACCCUGAUGUUUCCAUUAUGCAAUCAAGAAGGACAUCCUUGAAGAGUAAUUAGUCUGAAACAUUCUGGGGCCUCCAAAUAAGCUUUGUUGAUGUUUAACAGACCCACAGUUUUAUCCCUCAGUGCUGGGCUUGGCAGUAGGCAUUGGGAGGGGAAGGAAAGUAAUGCCUCUCUGUCACUUUAAGUCCUAAAUUGUUUUUAGGUGUUUGUUUAGAGACAGCAUUGGGAUGUUGUCUGCCAGGCAGGGAAGAGGGUGGACGUGGCCUCCUUCAGACCUCUCCUCAUCAGAGUUACUGUUUCGAGUAACGAGGAAGCACGGGAAUUGAUUUGAUGCCUAAUGAAUAAUCAGCUGCCAUCAAUAAUUGUAAUCACUAAUCUGGUGCAAUUAGAGGCAAUUAUAAUAAAUGCAAUUUCCUCCCGAGCCACUAACGAACUACAGAAAUAUGAAUUGACUUAAGGGGGCUGGCAGUGAUUUAUGUGAUUGUGAGAUCACGAAUACCAUUAUCUUGGUAAAGAUUCUUAAAGGAGCAAGGUCCUAGUCUGAUUUCACUCUUAACUAAUGAGAAGCUAGAAAAUACAAUUCUGGAGGUGAGGAGCACAGGUGCCUACUCUAUCUCUCCUACAACUAGCUUCGGAUAAUCGUAGAUACCUGUGCAGACUCAGCUCAGUCUGUCACUUGAAGGUCUGUUCCUGUACGUUUUGCUUACUAGAGAGAGAUUCUGAGUUCACACCUUCAAGUCUUGAAGAACAAGGACUAAAGCACCCAAUCAAUUCUGCAAGAGAGGGUGUUGACAGCAACAUCUGGAUGGAGGUGGCCUUUGUUAUUCCCAAGGGAGGCAUGUCUAUUGGCCCAUUACCCUUUCCACAUCCAGAUGAAUCCCCAGAUUUCAUAAAGAUUUGAUCUUUAUGUAAAUUGAAGGAAACUAGAAGUUGUCAAUAUCUUACAAAUGCUUAAAUAACUUUAAUUAUGUUAUUCUGAUUCCUAGAAAUUUUGAUUGACCAUCAAUUUUCUAGUGAAUCAGCCAGAGACAUUGGAAGGACUCCACCACAUGACCCUAAAGAACUGUGACAACACUCUAUUGCGCAACAGUGAGAGUGGGAGGGCCCAUCAUGCUUCAGAGCUAACAGCUGUCACCUGGACCACCCUUGGCCACAGGGGCACACAGACAAAUGAGCUUUGUCUACCUUCCCUCCGCGAGCAGCAUCAAGGACCCUGAGAGGCAAAUCUAAAGUGAAUUUUAAAAACAUGUUCAGUGGUGGUGCAGAGCAAUCCUGCUUCCAAGGAAAGGCCUCUUCCCCCUCUCUCUUCAGUGCCACUGGAGCGGCUCGUUCCAUUGAAAAUACAGCAGGGAUUUGUGCCGCACGGCUAUGCAGCAGGGGCGGGCCGAGUUCAUACCAGCCAUCAAGGGCUCAGCAUGGUCUGGAGGGCUUUGUGCUCAGACACUCAGGCAGCCCAGCUCAGACCGAGCACACCCCUCUUCCUGCUGAGGCCACAGUGCAAGCGUUUCUGUAAGUGACUUUUCAAUAAUGGCCCCGUGCCUAAGAAGGAUACCAGUAUCAUCGUGGCUGAAAGUUUCUCUUCUGCCUCCAAAUCUUGACCUCUCCCUAAAAUAUCAUAAUAAGACUUUUUUAUUUGGGCAGAGAAAUAAUCUGCUGAUUUAUGUUGGGCUGGGAACGGAAGAACUAACGUUGACCCAACACCUGUGAUACGUCACAGACCCUGUCAUGUGCUGUCCUAUUUAUUUGUUUAUUGAUUUAUUAUUUUGUGUACUGUCUUAUUUAAUCCCAACAGGAGAUUUCUGGUAAAAUUUUAGCCCCACUUCACAGAGGAGGGAAGCAAGAUUCAGAGCCGUUUUGCAACUCGCCUGAGGCCACAUGCUAACAAUGAAAGUUUGAUUCCCUAGCGGUCCCUAGCCCCUCUGGCCCUGGACUGACGUCACUGCUCAUACCACCUCCACAUAAGCAUCAGGAGAGCCUCUCCUUUACCCACGUUUCUAACCACAGAGUUAGAGUUUUUCCUAAUAGCAAGGAGGUGGAAGGGGCUUGGUGACUAGAGUUUCAGAUGCCCCCAGAGAUGUCAUAAGCGACUCACUUAUUAUUCAGGGAAAUACCCAACAAAGUGAUGACUUCUUUCCUCGCUAUCAGUAUCCACUACCAGCUGUUCACUUGGAUCGGGGGAUAUGAGGGAUUUAACUCUGAAUUCAUGAAUGCCGCUAAAGCUCCUUCGGAGAGGAACCACGGGGAUUAGUGCUUGUGGGACCCGAGUGCCUGGUAACUCAAAGGACCAGGGCACAAGCAGCAUGUUUUGAUGGGGCUGUGGAGAGUGCCUUAUGCAUGCUAGGGUGAGUUGGGGGAGCACAGAAGGAGGUCUGUGCCUUGGGAGACGGGACUUCAAAUCUACAAGAAAAUACAGCAAAUAAAACUGUUAGAUAACAUCUGCCUUGGGCACUGGACAGAACUGCCAUUUGUUU